CCCUACGGGGSGCAYCAGGCGCGAAAACUUUACAAUGCGGGAAACCGUGAUAAGGGAACUCCGAGUGUCCGUAAAUGCGGACUGUCCGUAUGUUUAAAAAGCAUGCGAAGAAAGGGCCGGGCAAGACCGGUACCAGCCGCCGCGGUAAUACCGGCGGCUCGAGUGGUGGCCACUAUUAUUGGGCUUAAAGCGUUCGUAGCUGGGUUGUUAAGUUUCUUGGGAAAUCUACCGGCUUAACCGAUAGGCGUCCAAGGGAUACUGGCAAUCUAGGGACCGGGAGAGGUGAGGGGUACUUCAGGGGUAGGAGUGAAAUCCUGUAAUCCUUGGGGGACCACCUGUGGCGAAGGCGCCUCACCAGAACGGCUCCGACAGUGAGGGACGAAAGCUGGGGGAGCAAACCGGAUUAGAUACCCGGGUAGUCCCAGCCGUAAACGAUGCGCGUUAGGUGUAUCGAUGACCACGAGUCAUCGAGGUGCCGAAGGGAAACCGUGAAACGCGCC
rnacentral:rRNA from 1 species